rnacentral:rRNA from 1 species
UACGUAGGGGGCAAGCGUUGUCCGGAUUUAUUGGGCGUAAAGAGCGUGUAGGCGGCCAGAUAGGUCCGUUGUGAAAACUCGAGGCUUAACCUCGAGACGUCGAUGGAAACCAUCUGGCUAGAGUCCGGAAGAGGAGAGUGGAAUUCCUGGUGUAGCGGUGAAAUGCGCAGAUAUCAGGAAGAACACCCGUGGCGAAGGCGGCUCUCUGGGACGGUACUGACGCUGAGACGCGAAAGCGUGGGGAGCGAACAGG